CCAGAUCUCCAUCGUUUCUUACGGUAAAGAAAAACCUGCCGUACUGGGCCACGACGAAGCGGCUUACGCUAAGAACCGUCGCGCUGUACUGGUUUACUAAGAGAAUUGCAUGAGCAGUAACUUCAGACAUCACCUGUUG
rfam:Salmonella enterica subsp. enterica serovar Macclesfield str. S-1643 chromosome, complete genome.